AUCAUAGAUGAUAAAGGAGUUGUAUCUAACACUACACGCAAUGUAGUGUAUCAAGAAGUCUUCGAUAAUAUUUGACAUCAUAAAAAGAUAUCAAGCAAUUUAUUGAUCAUCUAAUUUGAAGGUGUAAUGACUUUUCUAUAAGGUUCUAUAGCACAAAUAUGCUUGAUUGACAACAAGCUCGGUUAUGAAGUCUUUAUCAUUAAUCAUGGACUACAAUUUCGAAUAAGGGUUCAUGUUGCUGUCA